GAUGAACGCUGGCGGCGUGCCUAAUACAUGCAAGUCGAGCGAACGGACGAGAAGCUUGCUUCUCUGAUGUUAGCGGCGGACGGGUGAGUAACACGUGGAUAACCUCCCUAUAAGACUGGGAUAACUUCGGGAAACCGGAGCUAAUACCGGAUAAUAUUUUGAACCGCAUGGUUCAAAAGUGAAAGACGGUCUUGCUGUAACUUAUAGAUGGAUCCGCGCUGCAUUAGCUAGUUUGUAAGGUAACGGCUUACCAAGGCAACGAUGCAUAGCCGACCUGAGAGGGUGAUCGGCCACACUGGAACAGAGACACGGUCCAGACUCCUACAGGAGGCAGCAGUAGGGAAUCUUCCGCAAGGGGCGAAAGCCUGACGGAGCAACGCCGCGUGAGUGAUGAAGGUCUUCGGAUCGUAGAACUCUGUUAUUAGGGAAGAACAUAUGUGUAAGUAACUGUGCACAUCUUGACGGUACCUAAUCAGAAAGCCACGGCUAACUACGUG
rnacentral:rRNA from 1 species